GUUCAGUAACAUUUCUUGAUCUAAAGUACCUGUCACUACUUGUGACACUGCAUUUCAGACUAAAGAUCAGCCUGGAGCCUUGACUCAAAUGGACCUUGAGCCUCCUGAGAGUGGUUCUGUUUCACGCAGCUGCACUUCAUGUCCCAGGUUGGCUAAGUACCAAGUUGUUCAGGAAAAAUAUCUCACAACACUUCCAAUCAGAAUUCAGAGGAAAUGUCACCUACGUAAACUGCAACUUGACCAACAGUUACUUACAGAGAACCAGUUUAAGGUUUAUUUUCCACCACUGUGACUUUGUGCCCUUCUGUAAGCAUAUCAGGGAAAAGGAAGUCGAUGAUUUUACUCAUUUACUUUCUCGGUCUCUGGUGUCCUUCCUAUAAAUUUACUGCAAGAGGUUUUAUGAAUUAUAGUUACUUCCAAGGGUAUGGUGAUGAAGCAAGAAAGGCCAUGAAACAAACAAACCUCUCAAACACCUAACUGGGAAGGAAGUGGUCAUUUAUUCAGACGGGAUCUGUGGCAGCAUGGAUGCCUAACAGCUGAGCUCCCCUAACAAAGAAAAUCCCUGCUCUUUUAAAGACUUACGACUCCAGAAAUUACUUGUGAAAGGGUCUUGGGCUUACAACUCUAGAAAUUACAUGUGAAAGGGUCUUGAUCCAUGAAGUAGGCGUGGGAUACAUGACUUAGGUGAGGGUGUGAUCCUGUUUAAGUAAAAACAAUGCCUUCCAGAAAGAUUCCUCUAUACCAUGCCUGCGAUGUAUAGGAGUGUGACUAAGGGUGGUGCCCAGGUCUGCCAGCCUUUACUUCUCUUACUGAAGUGCAAUGUAUAUGUCUAGGAGGACGGGCUUUUAGAAGCUUAAGAAGUUUAAGGGUCUCCUUUCUCAGUGACUUUGUGAUAAUUUAUUGAUGUGUAGCUCCAAGAUCAUAAGUGCAGUUUUGUGUCCCUACAAUCAGUGAGAAUUUUAAAUGUGAUAUAUCUCCUUUACAUAUAGAUAUGGGUACGUAGAUACACCACUUACAGUGAGAAGGGAUAUAAGUGAUCUACAAUAAAUGAGAAACAAGUUAAAUAAAUAUACA
rnacentral:lncRNA from 13 species